rnacentral:rRNA from 1 species
AUUGAACGCUGGCGGCAUGCCUUACACAUGCAAGUCGAACGGCAGCACGGGGCAACCUGGUGGCGAGUGGCGAACGGGGGAGUAAUGCAUCGGGACGUACCUUUCAGUGGGGGAUUACGUAGCGACAGUUGCGCUAAUACCGCCUAUUCUGUGAGCAGGAAAGCGGGGGAUCGCAAGCACGUGCGCUGUUUGAGCGGCCGGUGUCAGAUUAGCUAGUUGGUGAGGUAAAGGCGCACCAAGGCGACGAUCUGUAGCGGGUCUGAGAGGAUGAUCCGCCACACUGGAAGUGAGACACGGUCCAGACUCCUACGGGAGGCAGCAGUGGGGGAUUUUUGACAAUGGGGGCAACCCUGAUCCAGCUAUGCCGCGUGAGUGAAGAAGGCCUUCGGGUUGUAAAGCUCUUUCGGCCGGGAAGAAAUCGCACGGGCUAAUACCCUGUGUGGAUGACGGUACCGGAAUAAGAAGCACCGGCUAACUACGUGCCAGCCGCCGCCGUAA